GCUCUUUAUAUGGCUUGAUGGAUCUGGACUAAGUUUGUCACACAUGCCCUUCAUUAACUAACAAAUAACUGAAGCGCUUGAACUACACAUUCCAGCCCUUUCAGGCCCAAAGCUGAGGGAAAGAAAAUGAACAAAAUGGGUUGGCAGUUGCUAAGUGAAGGAUUGGCUGUGGUUAGGUAAAGUGGACCUCUGUGAUGUCACUGAGAAAGGGAGUGAAGGGGCUAGGUGACAUGUGUAUGAAGGGAAGGCAGGGGAGAAGGGUAGAGGAAGAAAGGGAAGAAAGAAAAGAAGGAAGGAAGGAAGGGAGGGAGGGAGAGAACACAGGAAGGAAGGUGAAAAGAAUGUUAGAAAAAAGGGACAAAGGAAAGGAGAAAAAGACGGGAGGAGGAAGGAAAGGGAAGAACAGGGUUGAAGGUAUAUGAGAGAAACCAAGGGAAGAAGUAAAGAAGGAAAGAAAAGAGAAGGAGAAGGAUACAAGGAAAAUGGAGGAAAGCACGAAAGAAUCAAAAAGAUAGUCUGCUCAAAGAGAGUUGGGCAGAAUGUUGCCAAGAAGACAUUGUGAGGAGAAGCCUAAGGAAGGAAGGAGAAGCCGAAGGGAGAGAAAAGGAGGCUGAAGCAGCUUUGUUUUCGCCUCACAAGGCAUCCACCUGCUUGAGAGGCGAGGAGGGGACAGAGACGCUACUUGCCAGUGAGAUUGUAAACAACACAAAUAUAGCAUCCCUACUUCGCGGAUAUUCACUUUUUGCGGGUGGUCCUGGAAUGUAACCGCUGCGAUAAGUGAGGGAACACUGUACACACCAAAUAAGCUGGGUCCAGUGGCAGCAGCUAGUGAGACAGAUGGGGCAAUAGCUCCAGUGCCUCCCACUUAUUAUCAUCCUAAUGUUACUCUGCUUCAGCAGCAGAAGCCAAACCACAAUCCUUACUUCUACUUCCUUGUUCCUGUCAUGCAGAGCUGUCUGCAGCUGUUGGAUAAUUCCUCCUUGCUCUGACUGCCAUCUACAUGAUUUUGCUUCAAUCUCGUC